rnacentral:rRNA from 1 species
GAUGAACGCUGGCGGCGUGCCUAAUACAUGCAAGUCGAGCGAAUGGAUUAAGAGCUUGCUCUUAUGAAGUUAGCGGCGGACGGGUGAGUAACACGUGGGUAACCUGCCCAUAAGACUGGGAUAACUCCGGGAAACCGGGGCUAAUACCGGAUAACAUUUUGAACCGCAUGGUUCGAAAUUGAAAGGCGGCUUCGGCUGUCACUUAUGGAUGGACCCGCGUCGCAUUAGCUAGUUGGGGAGGUAACGGCUCACCAAGGGAACGAUGCGUAGCCGACCUGAGAGGGUGAUCGGCCACACUGGGACUGAGAAACGGCCCAGACUCCUACGGGAGGAAGCAGUAGGGAAUCUUCCGCAAUGGACGAAAGUCUGAUGGAGCAACGCCGCGUGAGUGAUGAAGGCUUUCGGGUCGUAAAACUCUGUUGUUAGGGAAGAACAAGUGCUAGUUGAAUAAGCUGGCACCUUGACGGUACCUAACCAGAAAGCCACGGCUAACUACGUGCCAGCCGCCGCAGUAA